GAUGAACGCUGGCGGCGUGCCUAAUACAUGCAAGUCGAGCGAACAGAUGAGGAGCUUGCUCCUCUGACGUUAGCGGCGGACGGGUGAGUAACACGUGGAUAACCUACCUAUAAGACUGGGAUAACUUCGGGAAACCGGUGCUAAUACCGGAUAAUAUAUUGAACCGCAUGGUUCAAUAGUGAAAGACGGUUUUGCUGUCACUUAUAGAUGGAUCCGCGCCGCUUUAGCUAGUUGGUAGGGUAACGGCUUACCAAGGCAACGAUGCGUAGCCGACCUGAGAGGGUGAUCGGCCACAUGGGAACUGAGCCACGGUCCAGACUCCUACGGGAGGAAGCAGUAGGGAAUCUUCGGCAAUGGGCGAAAGCCUGACGGAGCAAGGCCGCGUGAGUGAUGAAGGUCUUCGGAUCGUAAAACUCUGUUAUUAGGGAAGAACAAAUGUGUAAGUAACUAUGCACGUCUUGACGGUACCUAAUCAGAAAGCCACGGCUAACUACGUG
rnacentral:rRNA from 1 species